CGUAGGGUGCGAGCGUUGUCCGGAAUUAUUGGGCGUAAAGAGCUCGUAGGCGGUUUGUUGCGUCGGCCGUGAAAACUUCACGCUUAACGUGGAGCUUGCGGUCGAUACGGGCAGACUUGAGUUCGGUAGGGGAGACUGGAAUUCCUGGUGUAGCGGUGAAAUGCGCAGAUGUCAGGAGGAACACCGGUGGCGAAGGCGGGUCUCUGGGCCGAUACUGACGCUGAGGAGCGAAAGCGUGGGGAGCGAACAGGAUUAGAUACCCUGGUAGUCCACGCCGUAAACGUUGGGCGCUAGGUGUGGGGCUCUUUCCACGGGUUCCGUGCCGUAGCUAACGCAUUAAGCGCCCCGCCUGGGGAGUACGGCCGCAAGGCUA
rnacentral:rRNA from 1 species